CUGCUGCCUUCCGUAGGAGUCUGGUCCGUGUCUCAGUACCAGUGUGGGGGACCUUCCUCUCAGAACCCCUACGCAUCGUCGCCACGGUGGGCCGUUACCCCGCCGUCUAGCUAAUGCGCCGCAUGCCCAUCCUCUUCCGAUGAAUCUUUCCUCGAUCUCGGAUGCCCGAAACCGAUAUACGCGGGAUUAGCCUCCCUUUCGGAAGGUUGUCCCCCUGAAGAGGGCAGGUUGCAUACGUGUUACUCACCCGUGCGCCGGUCGCCCGG
rnacentral:rRNA from 1 species